UUCACCAAGUCCCCAAAAAUAAACCCUUUUCCACCUAACAAUGUAACAUUUGUUGCUAUUGCUCCGACCAAAAAUUCACCAAGGCCAAAAAUUUGAAGCUACUGCGACCAUAGGAAUUACUUGUUCUUCUUCCAUUCAAAGUUGCUCCGUCGUGUAAUUAUUCUUAUUCUUGCUACUGGUCAUGUUCUUUUCUUUGAGUUAGAGCAUGGACAAAAAUUGUUGGUCGUAAUUCUCUUCUCCGAGUUAUUGGUCCAACUCGUAACAAGCAGAGUAGAAACCCUAUACGUUCUCCUCUCACGCAAUUAAUUGCCAUGGUAUGGUCUAGGUGAUGUUUUCUGUUGCAGUACAUGCCCUUAUAAGGUCUUCCUCCAUUCAAACUUGGUGAAAAGAUGUAUAGAUGUGACAAUAACACUAUCAGAAGAUACUCUAAAAGCAUGGGAACCAUCACUCAUCACACAGGAAAUAAGUGCUAUCUCACUUGAAGAUAUCCUCAAUGGUGGCUCUAGUAGCCAUAGUAUGUAGUUCACAAACAUGUUAUGAAAUUCUGCUUUUGUGUAUCAUUGACAAAUGUAGAAUACUGAAGCUCUUUUGUGUUAUUUAUGAAAAAACUUGCGACUAAGCUCUUUUCUCUAAUGACUAUGUUGAAGGAUUUCCUGU